AUUGAACGCUGGCGGCAGGCUUAACACAUGCAAGUCGAGCGGGGUGAUGGUGCUUGCACUAUCACUUAGCGGCGGACGGGUGAGUAAUGCUUAGGAAUCUGCCUAUUAGUGGGGGACAACAUCUCGAAAGGGAUGCUAAUACCGCAUACGUCCUACGGGAGAAAGCAGGGGAUCACUUGUGACCUUGCGCUAAUAGAUGAGCCUAAGUCGGAUUAGCUAGUUGGUGGGGUAAAGGCCUACCAAGGCGACGAUCUGUAGCGGGUCUGAGAGGAUGAUACGCCACAAUGGGGCUGAGACACGGCCCAGACUCCUACGGGAGGCAGCAGUGGGGAAUAUUGGACAAUGGGGGGAACCCUGAUCCAGCCAUGCCGCGUGUGUGAAGAAGGCCUUAUGGUUGUAAAGCACUUUAAGCGAGGAGGAGGCUACUGAGACUAAUACUCUUGGAUAGUGGACGUUACUCGCAGAAUAAGCACCGGCUAACUCUGUGCCAGCAGCCGCGGUAA
rnacentral:rRNA from 1 species